UACGUAGGGGGCAAGCGUUGUCCGGAUUCAUUGGGCGUAAAGAGCGUGUAGGCGGCCAGGUAGGUCGGUUGUGAAAACUGGAGGCUCAACCUUCAGAGGUCGACCGAAACCAUCUGGCUAGAGUCCGGGAGAGGAGAGUGGAAUUCCUGGUGUAGCGGUGAAAUGCGCAGAUAUCAGGAAGAACACCCGUGGCGAAAGCGGCUCUCUGGAACAGUACUGACGCUGAGACGCGAAAGCGUGGGGAGCGAACAGG
rnacentral:rRNA from 1 species